rnacentral:rRNA from 1 species
UACAGAGGUCUCAAGCGUUGUUCGGAUUCAUUGGGCGUAAAGGGCGCGUAGGCGGCGGGGUAAGUCGGGUGUGAAAUUUCAGAGCUCAACUCUGAAACUGCACUCGAUACUGCUCUGCUUGAGGACUGGAGAGGAGACUGGAAUUCACGGUGUAGCAGUGAAAUGCGUAGAUAUCGUGAGGAAGACCAGUGGCGAAGGCGGGUCUCUGGACAGUUCCUGACGCUGAGGCGCGAAGGCCAGGGGAGCCAAAGCGGG